AAGAAUUUCUGUAGGCUACUAACUGACUUGCCAACCCAUCUACAUUAAUUAAUCAUAAUGAUAACAGGAGAUAAGACAAAGGAAAAUCAACACCCGAAUUUCUAAAUCUGAAGAAGUGAUAAAGAAGAUGACAGAUGAUAAUGAGAGGGGGAAGAGAGCCAAAGCACCACGUUCAAAAAUCAACCCUAGAUGAUGAUUUUCCCAACUCUAUUCCUAACCUAAAACUGCAGCAUCACAAGUGACAAGAGACAAGACAAAGAAUCCGGGCUGACAAUGUAAAUGUAUUUGCAAAGCUCCAUCAAAGUUCGUCAACUUUCCUUACGGAGCAGAUAUAUUUAUACUCCAAUUUUGAAGGGACCACAAUGCUGCUUGGUUCUAAGUAUAAAGCCAUCUCUGUUAAACACACAAACAAACAAACCCACUCUGAAAUCACAAGGAAGGGACUGCUUAGCAAGUGGAGAAGAUGAUUGCAGUAGUAAGAGACUGGGGGAAUCCAGAACUUCCACCCACUAAAGAGUAUUUGAAUGUUUAUCAUAUCAUCAGUGUCGCCUAGGCGGUUGCCUACAGUUAUCUAGAGACCUACAUCACAUUUUAUUUUAAUAAAGUAAAUCAAAG
rnacentral:lncRNA from 1 species